AGUGGUUAAAGUAUUUAAUUGUACAUCUUAGUUACAUUAAGAAGGUCUUAAUUUAAGUAACCACU
rnacentral:tRNA from 1 species